rnacentral:rRNA from 1 species
UACAGAGGGUGCGAGCGUUGUCCGGAAUCACUGGGCGUAAAGGGCGCGUAGGCGGCUCGGUCAGCGUGCGGUGAAAGCCCGGGGCUCAACCCCGGGUCGGCCGUGCGAACUGCUGGGCUGGAGCACUGUAGAGGCAGGUGGAAUUCCGGGUGUAGCGGUGGAAUGCGUAGAGAUCCGGAAGAACACCGGUGGCGAAGGCGGCCCGCUGGGCUGUUGCUGACGCUGAGGCGCGACAGCGUGGGGAGCAAACAGG